UAUGGCCAUAUAACAUUGAAACGCUGGUUCUCGUACAAUCAUCGAAGUUAAGCAACGUCGAACUGGUCAGUUCCUAGAUGGGUGACCACUUGGGAAUACUAGGUGCUACAAG